GAUCUUCUCCGUAGAAGGAGAGCUGGAGCCUGAGCUCCCGCAAGUGUUCACGGGAGAUGGCGCUGUACAUGCGCAGAAACUCCGGGACCAGCAUGCACCACAUCAGUCCCACUAAAUGAGCUUUUCCUCUCUCCUUGUCUCUCUCUCUCUCUCUCUCUCUCUCUCUCUCUCUCUCUCUCUCUCUCUCUCUCUCUGUCUUUUUUCUCUCUUUUUUUUCUCUUUUUUUUUUUUUUUCUUGCAAGAGACAGCAAUGCCUGCAUAGUGCCAAGAAGAGUCUGGGUUACACAGAGCAAAGAAGUCAACCCACCUAACUGGAUUCCUGCUGCAAGGAAUUUGAGGACACCCUCCUCCUUCAUUUGCAGAACAUCAAGGGCUCCAGGGAGGGUGACGUUUCCCCUUCAACUUACAAUGGGAAUCCAGAACAAUGCCAUAUGGACUCCUUUCUGGUGAACGUUGAGUGAGCUUGGCUUCAAAGCAAGCAUGAUGAACAAGAAACAUGGCUAGUGGACAAGAGGAGGAAACAAGGACCAUAUGAGAGAGGUAACUGAAAACAAUUGAUAUUUCUCUAGGGCAAGACUCUGAAGGAGGACACACUGUAUAAAGAAUAGUGCCCAAAGAGGCCAUGUUUUUUUUUAAUAUUUUAUUUACUUUUGACAGAGAGAGAAAGACAGAGCAUGAGUGGGGGGAGAAGCAGAGAGAGAGGGAGACACAGAUUCUGAAGCAGGCUCCAGGCUCUGAGCUGUCAGCAUAGAGCCUGACGCAGGGCUUGAACUCACAGACCUUGAAAUCAUGACCUGAGCUGAAGUCAGAUGCUCAACUGACUGAGCCACCCAGGCACCCCGCCAUGGUUUGUUUUAAUAGCCACUGAAGAUGGAGGAACUCCAACCAAACAAGUAAGGGCACAGAGUCAAAGUUCAAAGAAGCAGGAAUGACUUGAAAUCAGGUGUAUAACAAAAUCCUGGUAUCAGGCUAUGGAGUCGUUCAGAAGAUAUGAAACAGGUAAUAACUAUAUCAGGAAUAAGACAUAACAUAUACUAUGGCAAUACCACAAGUAAAUCAGAGUGUUAUUUUCUUUUUAGGUAAGUAGUUGAAAAAAGUUACCCCCUGGAGAAAAUUAGUAGUUACCAGUACAUGAAGGCACAAUUGAGCAAACUGAUGAGGUCCAUAUGGAGAGUAUAGAUGGGUAAACAUCCAGAUACAAUAAAUUCAUUUUAGGCAUAUCGGAUCCUGAUUGA
rnacentral:lncRNA from 1 species